rnacentral:rRNA from 1 species
GACGUCCUACGGGGGGCAGCAGUGGGGGAUAUUGCACAAUGGGGGAAACCCUGAUGCAGCGACGCCGCGUGAGUGAAGAAGUAUUUCGGUACGUAAAGCUCUAUCAGCAGGGAAGAAUAAUGACGGUACCUGACUAAGAAGCCCCGGCUAACUACGUGCCAGCAGCCGCGGUAAUACGUAGGGGGCAAGCGUUAUCCGGAUUUACUGGGUGUAAAGGGAGCGUAGACGGCAGAGAAAGUCUGAAGUGAAAGCCCGCGGCUCAACCGCGGAACUGCUUUGGAAACUUUUCGGCUAGAGUACCGGAG